AUUGAACGCUGGCGGCAUGCCUUACACAUGCAAGUCGAACGGCAGCACGGGUGCUUGCACCUGGUGGCGAGUGGCGAACGGGUGAGUAAUACAUCGGAACAUGUCCUGUAGUGGGGGAUAGCCCGGCGAAAGCCGGAUUAAUACCGCAUACGAUCUACGGGUGAAAGCGGGGGACCUUCGUGCCUCGCGCUAUAGGGUUGGCCGAUGGCUGAUUAGCUAGUUGGUGGGGUAAAGGCCUACCAAGGCGACGAUCAGUAGCUGGUCUGAGAGGACGACCAGCCACACUGGGACUGAGACACGGCCCAGACUCCUACGGGAGGCAGCAGUGGGGAAUUUUGGACAAAGGGCGAAAGCCUGAUCCAGCAAUGCCGCGUGUGUGAAGAAGGCCUUCGGGUUGUAAAGCACUUUUGUCCGGAAAGAAAUCCUUGGCCCUAAUACGGUCGGGGGAUGACGGUACCGGAAGAAUAAGCACCGGCUAACUACGUG
rnacentral:rRNA from 1 species